rnacentral:lncRNA from 1 species
UGGGGGCAAAUCCUUGAGCUUGAUGUGUAGGGAAGGGAGGGGGCCUGAAUAAUCCCUGAGGAGUAGUAGAAUAGCAGAUGGAACACUGAGAAGUUAUUUCCUUGAGGAUAGAUUUCCACGAUGGAAAGGAAAUGAGAGGUUCUGAGAGGCGGGCUAGUGGCUUGUACUAUAGCAUAACCUGCCUUUGCUGGUGUGUGGCGAUUAGGCCUGGUGGAACCUCCAUCAAUAAAUCAAGCGUGAUCAGGGUGAGGAACAGGAAAGAAGGAAAUCUGGGGAAAUGGGAUGAAUGUCAGGUGGAUCAGACAGAUACAGUCAUGGGGGUCAGGUGUGGUAUCAGGAAUAAUGUGGGAGGCUGGAUUGAAGUCUGGGCCAGGAACAAUGGUAAUUGUGGGAGACUCAACAAAGAGUGAGUACAGCUGAAGGAGCCAGGAAGCAGAAAGUAUAUGCGUCAGAAUCAGCUGGGAACAAUGACUGCCAAAAGUGUCCAGAGGAAGUCUGCAGGACCUGGGUCUCUCCUAGGUGGAAUAUUCUUUGAAAUCAGCAGGGAACAGAUGUCCACAUCCUGGACUCAGGAAUUUGCGCAGAAGGAGACACUCCAAGCAGUGCUCCGACACACAAGAGGCCCCAGGAAUUCGGAGACCUGAGUAACCCCAAGGAAGCCCUGGCCGCACUCAGGCUGCUGUUUUCAGGCAAAACUAAACAACUCAUAUCAGUCCAAGCACAAAGGAUACUCUCCAAGGAUCAUGGACAUGGAGGUUUGGAUUGAUUUGCAUUCUUUUGCCAAGGAAAGCAUUAACUGGCCCUUUGGGAAGCCCACCUAGUCAAAGGCUAAAAGCUUUAUUGUGCCUGGAGGACAAUCUGCACUUCCGCUCCUUCGGGACUCACCUACUCUCGUGGUAAUUCCAUGCCAAACCACAACCUCCUAGGAAAUGGAUCUGACUCUGAGUCAGAGAUGCGUUCCAAGUCCUAGGGCUAUUGGCCCCGCCAACUUAUAUCCUCACCCCUUGACUGCCAUUUCUCUCUUUUGCCAAUACUGACACUAAUUGUAGAGUUCCCCAACUCCACGCUGCCACUUGCUUAUUUCGUUAUUAUUGCUCAACCUGUGUGACUAUUUUGGAGGACAGAGAUUCCUAGGUCUCUGUAUCUGGAUCUUUCUCUAAGCUGGCAAGUAACCUGCUUUAUCUAACCUUCCUACUGUCAGUGACCCAAGCAGUAGAAGUCACCUCCCUAAUUGUCUUCUAUGAGUUGGAAACCAAAUAAAAAGAUUUAUUAGAAAUAUGUAUAGAGUUAGAGCCUGUGUGUACUGACUGAAGUUCUAAAGGC